rnacentral:rRNA from 1 species
CACGUUAUGGUGGGCGACUCUAAGGAGGACUGCCGGUGGACAAACCGGAGGAAGGUGGGGAGUGACGUCAAGUCAUCAUGGCCCUUACGGCCUGGGCUACACACGUGCUACAAUGGUCGGUACAAAGGGUUGCCAAGCCGCGAGGUGGAGCUAAUCCCAUAAAACCGAUCGUAGUCCGGAUCGCAGUCUGCAACUCGACUGCGUGAAGUCGGAAUCGCUAGUAAUCGUGAAUCAGAAUGUCACGGUGAAUACGUUCCCGGGCCUU